GGGGGCUGUAGUUCAGUGGUAGAUCAUUUACCUUGUAUGCAAAAGGUCCCAGGUUCAAUCCCUGGCAUUUCCA